CUUGAAACAAUUUGUUUGCAUUACAUUUGUUUCAGAAAUUCAGUAGGAUAUUUCCAACAGCUGACAAUCAGAAAUAAAAGAGAUAGGAAUAAAGACCACCCCAAGCAUGCAGGUACUUUCUCUCAACAGACUGUUGGCUAUCUCUCAACAGACUGUCAAGAUCUAAAGAGAGGAACCAGAGCAUGAAAAAAUGAAAAUAUAGGUAAUUCUAUUAUCCAGAUAUUUCUGAACAUGCCAAUGCUUU
rnacentral:lncRNA from 1 species